rnacentral:rRNA from 1 species
CGAACCCACUUCAGUUGAAAAUGGAGGGGAUGAGCUGUGGGUAGGGGUGAAAGGCCAAUCAAACACCGUGAUAGCUGGUUCUCCCCGAAAUGCAUUUAGGUGCAGCGUCGUAUUAGCUUGGUGGAGGUAGAGCGACUGGUUGGUUGAGCGGGACUACAAUCUUAGCAAUGUCAGCCAAACUCCGAAUGCCAUCAAUUGUGUUGUGCGGCAGUGAGACUGUGGGGGAUAAGCUUCAUAGUCGAGAGGGAAACAGCCCAGAUCGCCGGUUAAGGCCCCUAAGGGUGUACUAAGUGGAAAAGGAUGUGGGAUCGCGAAGACAGCCAGGAGGUUGGCUUAGAAGCAGCCAUCCUUGAAAGAGUGCGUAAUAGCUCACUGGUCGAGUGGUUCUGCGCCGACAAUGUAGUGGGGCUCAAGUACACCGCCGAAGCCGCGGCAAGCAGCAUUUUUUGUUGUUUGGGUAGGGGAGCGUCGUGCAUGGGUGGAAGCGUUACCGUGAGGAGGCGUGGACUGUGUGCGAGUGAGAAUGCAGGCAUGAGUAACGAAUUGUAAGGUGAGAAUCCUUACCGCCGGAUGACUAAGGGUUCCUGGGUCAAGUUCGUCUUCCCAGGGUGAGUCGGGACCUAAGGCGAGGCCGACAGGCGUAGUCGAUGGAUAACCAGUUGAUAUUCUGGUACCCGUACAUGUGCGCCCAUGAUGAAGCACUGAUACUAACCACUGCGGAUACGCUACCUAGCAUUCUUUGAGUGUUGGUGGUGUUGAUGUCGUGGGGCCUGAUGUGUGGUUCAAGUGAUGGGGUGACGCAGUGAGGUAGCCGCGCCACUUAGUGGAUUGGUGGUGUAAGCGUGUAGGCCGUGUGGUAGGUAAAUCCGCUACACAUUAUGGUUGAGGCGUGAUGCGUAGACCCAUUGGGGUUGAUGGUGGUGAUCCUGUACUGUCGAGAAAAGCCUCUAGCGAGUGCGUGUAUGGCCCGUACCCUAAACCGACACAGGUGGUCAGGUUGAAGAUACUAAGGCGUUCGGGUGAACUGUGGUUAAGGAAUUCGGCAAAAUGCCCCCGUAACUUCGGGAGAAGGGGGGCCCUGUGACGUGAAGACCCUGUGCGGUUGGAGUGUUGUGGGGUCGCAGAGAAUAGAGGGAAGCGACUGUUUAUCAAAAACACAGGUCCAUGCGAAGACGUUAAGUUGAUGUAUAUGGACUGACGCCUGCCCGGUGCUGGAAGGUUAAGAGGACCGGUUAGUAGUCUUUGACUGCGAAGCUGAGAAUUUAAGCCCCAGUAAACGGCGGUGGUAACUAUAACCAUCCUAAGGUAGCGAAAUUCCUUGUCGGGUAAGUUC